UACGGGGGGGGCAAGCGUUGUUCGGAAUUACUGGGCGUAAAGGGCUCGUAGGCGGCCAACUAAGUCAGACGUGAAAUCCCUCGGCUUAACCGGGGAACUGCGUCUGAUACUGGAUGGCUUGAGUUUGGGAGAGGGAUGCGGAAUUCCAGGUGUAGCGGUGAAAUGCGUAGAUAUCUGGAGGAACACCGGUGGCGAAGGCGGCAUCCUGGACCAACACUGACGCUGAGACACGAAAGCGUGGGUAGCAAACAGG
rnacentral:rRNA from 1 species